rnacentral:rRNA from 1 species
GGGCCCGCACAAGCGGUGGAGCAUGUGGUUUAAUUCGAUGCAACGCGAAGAACCUUACCUACUCUUGACAUCCAGAGAAGCCAGCGGAGACGCAGGUGUGCCUUCGGGAGCUCUGAGACAGGUGCUGCAUGGCUGUCGUCAGCUCGUGUUGUGAAAUGUUGGGUUAAGUCCCGCAACGAGCGCAACCCUUAUCCUUGUUUGCCAGCGAGUAAUGUCGGGAACUCCAGGGAGACUGCCGGUGAUAAACCGGAGGAAGGUGGGGACGACGUCAAGUCAUCAUGGCCCUUACGAGUAGGGCUACACACGUGCUACAAUGGCGCAUACAGAGGGCGGCGAACUUGCGAGAGUGAGCGAAUCCCAAAAAGUGCGUCGUAGUCCGGAUUGGAGUCUGCAACUCGACUCCAUGAAGUCGGAAUCGCUAGUAAUCG